GGUCUGUCCAGUGAUUCAGCCACAUGUGAUAGAUGACCAAGUGACUGCUUUCUUGGAGUCCGCACACCAGUGGAAGACUCUCAAAGUGGUUGUGACCGACUUGAUCAAACUCUAGGCUUCCUGAACUGAAUGAAAUGCAGAUAACUCUUUAGAAAACUUUUGUAGGAAAAGCGCCUCGUGUGAUCUGGAACAAAGACGUUUUAUAAUCAGAUUUAUCAAGCUGCGAAGAGGGAGUUUUAGUGAACGGAAGCAGCAGCAUUCUGUCACCAGGAAAUACUCCUUUAUCCAGAAUUGGUAAGUGAAAAGUGGCAUUGCUCCCUAAUAGAUAUCAUAUGUGUGUGUGGGAAUUGAAAAAUUGUUCACAGACCCCUAACAACUGUGUUGAACAGAGAACACAUAAACAGUGAGGAGUUCUAAAAAAGAGCAGCACGAGAAUACCG
rnacentral:lncRNA from 1 species